rnacentral:tRNA from 1 species
GAGAGAGGCCCGCCAGCUACUGAGGUUGCUAACCUUCUGUCCCCCGGGUUGGACUCCCGGGAUCUUCUCG